CCUACGGGAGGCAGCAGUGAGGAAUAUUGGUCAAUGGACGUGAGGCUGAACCAGCCAAGUAGCGUGAAGGAUGACUGCCCUAUGGGUUGUAAACUUCUUUUAUAUGGGGAUAAAAUGUUCCACGUGUGGGAUUUUGCAUGUACCGUAUGAAUAAGGAUCGGCUAAUUCCGUGCCAGCAGCCGCGGUAAUACGGAGGGUCCGAGCGUUAUCCGGUUUGAUUGGGUUUAAAGGGAGCGUAGGUGGAUUGUUAAGUCAGUCGUGAAAUUUUGCGGCUCAACCGUGAAAGUGCGGUGGAAACUGGCAACCUUGAGUGCAGUAGAGGUGGGCGGAAUUCGUGGUGUAGCGGUGAAAUGCUUAGAUAUCACGAAGAACUCCGAUUGCGAAGGCAGCUCGCUGGAGCGCAACUGACGCUGAGGCGCGAAAGUGUGGGUAUCAAACAGGAUUAGAUACCCGUGUAGUC
rnacentral:rRNA from 1 species